AGAGUUUGAUCCUGGCUCAGGAUGAACGCUGGCGGCGUGCCUAACACAUGCAAGUCGAACGAAGCACUUUUACUCGAUUCUUCGGAUGAUGGUGAGAGUGACUGAGUGGCGGACGGGUGAGUAACGCGUGGGUAACCUGCCUCAUACAGGGGGAUAACAGUUAGACAUGACUGCUCAUCACCCGCAUAAUACCACGGAGCCGCAUGGCUCUGUGGGAAAAACUCCGGUGGUAUGAGAUGGACCCGCGUCUGAUUAGGUAGUUGGUGGGGUAACGGCCCACCAAGCCGACGAUCAGUAGCCGACCUGAGAGGGUGACCGGCCACAUUGGGACUGAGACACGGCCCAAACUCCUACGGGAGGCAGCAGUGGGGAAUAUUGCACAAUGGGGGAAACCCUGAUGCAGCGACGCCGCGUGAGCGAAGAAGUAUUUCGGUAUGUAAAGCUCUAUCAGCAGGGAAGAAAAUGACGGUACCUGACUAAGAAGCACCGGCUAAAUACGUGCCAGCAGCCGCGGUAAUACGUAUGGUGCAAGCGUUGUCCGGAUUUACUGGGUGUAAAGGGAGCGUAGACGGCUGUGUAAGUCUGAAGUGAAAGCCCGGGGCUCAACCCCGGGACUGCUUUGGAAACUAUGCAGCUGGAGUAUCGGAGAGGCAAGUGGAAUUCCCAGUGUAGCGGUGAAAUGCGUAGAUAUUGGGAGGAACACCAGUGGCGAAGGCGGCUUGCUGGACGAUGACUGACGUUGAGGCUCGAAAGCGUGGGGAGCAAACAGGAUUAGAUACCCUGGUAGUCCACGCCGUAAACGAUGACUACUAGGUGUCGGGUAGCAGAGCU
rnacentral:rRNA from 1 species